rnacentral:rRNA from 1 species
AGUAAGACCCCUGAAAGAAGAUCAGGUCGAUAGGCUCGAAGUGGAAGUGUGGUGACAUACGGAGCGGACGAGUACUAAUCGGUCGAGGACUUAACCAAAU